AACACGUGGGCAAUCUGCCCUGCACUCUGGGACAAGCCCUGGAAACGGGGUCUAAUACCGGAUAACACUUUUCCCUGCAUGGGGAAAGGUUAAAAGCUCCGGCGGUGCAGGAUGAGCCCGCGGCCUAUCAGCUUGUUGGUGGGGUAAUGGCCUACCAAGGCGACGACGGGUAGCCGGCCUGAGAGGGCGACCGGCCACACUGGGACUGAGACACGGCCCAGACUCCUACGGGAGGCAGCAGUGGGGAAUAUUGCACAAUGGGCGAAAGCCUGAUGCAGCGACGCCGCGUGAGGGAUGACGGCCUUCGGGUUGUAAACCUCUUUCAGCAGGGAAGAAGCGAAAGUGACGGUACCUGCAGAAGAAGCGCCGGCUAACUACGUGCCAGCAGCCGCGGUAAUACGUAGGGCGCAAGCGUUGUCCGGAAUUAUUGGGCGUAAAGAGCUCGUAGGCGGCUUGUCACGUCGGAUGUGAAAGCCCGGGGCUUAACCCCGGGUCUGCAUUCGAUACGGGCAGGCUAGAGUGUGGUAGGGGAGAUCGGAAUUCCUGGUGUAGCGGUGAAAUGCGCAGAUAUCAGGAGGAACACCGGUGGCGAAGGCGGAUCUCUGGGCCAUUACUGACGCUGAGGAGCGAAAGCGUGGGGAGCGAACAGGAUUAGAUACCCUGGUAGUCCACGCCGUAAACGUUGGGAACUAGGUGUUGG
rnacentral:rRNA from 4 species